GGAAGUCAACCGGUGGGUCUCAGGUGCUGUGAUAGGGUUCUGGUUGUCGGUCCUGAGGGUAACAAAGUCUUUUGGCAGGAUAUCUGGAGAGCGUGAUGCCAGGAAGUAGGAGCGUCCAUGAAGAGCCAGCAAGGAAAGAUGGCUGGAGAGAGAGACGUCGGAGAAUGUGAAGACAGUGAAGGACUGAAUGAGAGACAUGCAGCCUUUUUCUUUACAAGAUGUUAACUGAUGGAGUUAUGUCGACUACUUGUGGAUAGUGAUGUUUUUAUCCAUCCACUGCAGAGGAGCCAUUGGCGGGCAAGUGAAGCAACGUUACAUUUCUCCACAUCUGUUUUGAUGAGGAAACAAUCGCAUCUACGUUUUUGGCCAAACCAUUCCUAUAUACCGCAUGUUAAUCGAACUACUGCAUUGACAUUUCAAUUCAGUGGUUUGACUUUUAUAAAUGCUGAAGGCUGCCAAAUGAAGCUAACAUUUGUGAGAAGUCUAUAAUGAUCUCUGUGUAUUGUGUGUGAAACAUGCCGAUAGUGUACUUGACAGAUGGGAAGCCACAGACGUUGCAUCAUCCAUUUUGGGCUGUUUCUGCUAGAUUCUUUAAAACUGAUUGUAUCUCUAAACUGUGUAAUCUGUGUGAAAGUUGACAUUAUUACCCAAAUUUUACUUGUUCUGAAGUGUCAGAUCAGGAAGACUGUUUUAUUUUAUUUGAUUCCAUUAUUAUCUUUAUUCAUUUAUUUUUAAUUAGUACUUUUAGUUUUAAGUGAUCAAGUGACAGUAAAGACAUGUAUUUGUAAUUUGUUAUUUGGAACAUUCUGUCAUAGAAUCUGGGAAAAAAGAGGGUUACAAAGUGUUCGAGACUGAUAAUACACUAAAUAAAAAUGUUAAUUGAGUAGCAA